AUACGGAGGGUGCAAGCGUUACUCGGAAUCACUGGGCGUAAAGCGCGCGCAGGCGGCUUGAUAAGUUGGAUGUGAAAGCCUACGGCUCAACCGUAGAACUGCAUCCAAAACUGUCAGGCUAGAGUGUGGGAGAGGAAGAUGGAAUUAGUUGUGUAGGGGUAAAAUCCGUAGAGAUAACUAGGAAUACCAAAAGCGAAGGCAAUCUUCUGGAACACUACUGACGCUGAGGCGCGAAGGCGUGGGGAGCAAACAGAAUUAGAUACCCCAGUAGUCC
rnacentral:rRNA from 1 species